rnacentral:rRNA from 1 species
UGGGGAAUUUUGCGCAAUGGGGGAAACCCUGACGCAGCAACGCCGCGUGGAGGAUGAAGUCCUUCGGGACGUAAACUCCUUUCGAUCGGGACGAUUAUGACGGUACCGGAAGAAGAAGCCCCGGCUAACUUCGUGCCAGCAGCCGCGGUAAUACGAGGGGGGCGAGCGUUGUUCGGAAUUAUUGGGCGUAAAGGGUGCGUAGGCGGUUUGGUAAGUCCUGUGUGAAAUCUACAGGCUCAACUUGUAGUCUGCACGAGAAACUGCCGGGCUUGAGUGUGGGAGAGGUGAGUGGAAUUUCCGGUGUAGCGGUGAAAUGCGUAGAUAUCGGAAGGAACACCUGUGGCGAAAGCGGCUCACUGGACCAUAACUGACGCUGAUGCACGAAAGCUAGGGGAGCAAACAGGAUUAGAUACCCUGGUAGUCCUAGCCCUAAACGAUGACUGCUUGGUGUGACGGGUACCCAAUCCCGCCGUGCCGUAGCUAACGCGUUAAACAG